AAUGUGUUUCUAGAGAUCCCAGGCUCUGGACCUGAUGAGAAGAUUCAUCCCAUGACGGAUACAAAACAUGAUGCUAAUCAUCGUUUAGUGUGACUUCACAGAAAGAAACUCACCAAAGACCUCCUGGUGCUGUUCAGGCAGCUUCUUGCUGCUUCCUUGGACUCAGGCCGAUUGACAGAGCCUGACCUCCCAGGAAGCAGCCACGAUGAUGGAGUUAGAUACUCAACAGGUUCAUCAGAGGUGAUUUCUGUGAAGGAGACCAGUGGGAGCCAUCAGGCAGGGAGAGCUGUGGCCUCUAGUUAAGACGCAAUGAUGUUACAGCCACGCUCCUGUGGAGCUCUGCAGCCAAAAGGCUCACCAGAGAAGACCAGCAUUGAGCCCUUGCCUUGCUUCGCCAAUGGCUGAGGGGUGUGCCAGAAUAGUCUGGUUCAGCAGGAUAGCUCCGUGAACUCGACAGUGGUGUUUGAAAGGGACAUAUGUGUGCCUUGUGGAGGCCUCAUGACCCAGUUCAUCUGUACAGAUGGAUGCCAGUGCCCAAGGGACUUGAGGACUCCUUCAAAGGACACACUGCCUCCAGGCUGAGCCAGGAGGUAUGGGGGAUCGGCCCCCAACACUCUGCUCAUCCCAACCCUAGCAGCACCUGAUUCUCAGCUGCUGAGAUCCUGUGCCCCUUGCCAGUCACAACUCUAGGGUGGCAUUGUUCCUUUAUCCCUGUGCUUGUUUGCCUAUGCUUGCCCCAUGGGGAGUGGUAUUAUUAGGAGGAAUAGCAUUGGAAUAGGUGUGGCCUUGUUGGAGAAACUGUGUCACUGUGUAGGCUUUGAGGGCUCUAGUACUCAAGCUCCACCCGGUGCAGAAGGGCCCCUCCUCCUAGCUGCCCGCAGAGGUCAGUCUCUCCAGGUUGCCUUCGGAUCAAGAUGUAGAACUCUCAGCUCCUUCUCCAGCACCAUGUCUGCCUGCACGCUGCCAUGCUU